UCAUCAGUUCCAUUUUAACCUUUAUCGUGGCCAGUCGCAUCCGCAAUCGCGCUCGGGGAUCCCGUGAUUGAACAUUAAAAUUAAUUAAAUGCAUAACUUACAAUAGAAAUGUGCGUGAAGCAACAAUAAUAAUUGACGCCCGCGGGCAAUACGAAAUUGAGAAUUGCGUAAAUGGCUAGCCAGAACAUGAAGCAACAAAGCGCGUUGGAAGCGGCCGUGGAAACUUCGAUUUUUGCAUGAGUCCGCAGCACAGGCAAAAACAAAACCAAAAAAAUAUAUAAUAAUAAAUAUAAACGCAACGAAAACAAAGACGCUGCCAAAUUAAAUUGCAGAGCCUAUUGAACUAAUCGGACUUGAUAAAUAUAAUUGCUAAUGGGAGUAUAUAUAAAUUUGUUGAUUUCGCUGCGCGUGUGCGUUUGUUUGUAAUUCGGUUGUCUGCUUUGUUGCUGCUGUUUGUUUGUGUUUUUGCACUACUCUCUCCAAUGUACGCGCGUCAGUCGUUUAUUGUGAAUGUGUAUGCGUGCAGUGACGUAAACAAAUGCAAAUAAAAAGGCACAAUUGCAAGCGAAAAUUUGAAAAAUGCCAACAAUAACAAGCACAUCAACAACAACAACAAAACAGCCGCAUGCCGAUGCCGUUUCACGUGCCAAAUAUACAUAGUAGCAACAACAAGAACGCCAGCAACGGCAUCAACAAAACGAUAACUUUUUUGUGCCGUGUGUUUUGUGCAGCUCAUUCGCUGCAAGGCCAGCUGAGCGCAACACGUUUGUGUUUGAUUCUGAUGCAUGCGUAGGCGAGCAGAGCAGAGCAGAGCAGCAGCAGCAGCAGCGCAGCAGCAACAGCAUGUGCGAGUGUGUGCGCGUGCAUUGAUUGAAACAUAGAUGCGACAGAUAAGACGACCCAGUCAAUGCCUGAUAGUGCAGCAACUGAAAGUGGGUCUCACAUAUGACUGAUAAUGGCAGUCAACGCUGCCAGCAGCAACAACAAC